CCCUUAGAGUUUGAUCCUGGCUCAGGAUGAACGCUAGCGGCAGGCCUAACACAUGCAAGUCGAGGGGCAUCACGAGGUAGCAAUACUUUGGUGGCGACCGGCGCACGGGUGCGUAACGCGUAUGUAACCUACCUAUAACAGGGGCAUAACACUGAGAAAUUGGUACUAAUUCCCCAUAAUAUUCGGAGAGGCAUCUCUCCGGGUUGAAAACUCCGGUGGUUAUAGAUGGACAUGCGUUGUAUUAGCUAGUUGGUGAGGUAACGGCUCACCAAGGCAACGAUACAUAGGGGGACUGAGAGGUUAACCCCCCACACUGGUACUGAGACACGGACCAGACUCCUACGGGAGGCAGCAGUGAGGAAUAUUGGUCAAUGGACGCAAGUCUGAACCAGCCAUGCCGCGUGCAGGAAGACGGCUCUAUGAGUUGUAAACUGC
rnacentral:rRNA from 1 species